rnacentral:rRNA from 1 species
GUCUCCGGCCAUACCACCCCGAACGCGCCCGAUCUCGUCUGAUCUCGGAAGCUAAGCAGGGUCGGGCCUGGUUAGUACUUGGAUGGGAGACCACCUGGAAAUACCGGGUGCUGUAGGCU